AUGGCCGGUCAUACGUCUGGCCGGUGGACGCCACCACAGGGUCGCGCAUCAAAUCCAAAGAAAUCGGGCAGGAGAACUCCUUGGGCACCGAGAAGGAGGUGUCGUCGCAGCCGCCGCCGCCCCACGAUGGAAGCCGCUGCAAGUUUCCCGCCGACGGCCAAUACCGGGCCGCCUUUGCGUUGCCAGGGUCGAACUGCGAGAAGAGGCUGUAGCGGAGCAAGGCGAGAACACCACCGACGAGCAGGAGAUAACAGAGUGUGGGAUGCACAGUUGAUUCAUGAGUUGUUUUGGCCAAUUGAUGUGCAACGUAUUCGGAAUAUCCCGUUGGCUGUAGGGAUGAUGGAGGACUUUGUUUCUUGGCAUUUACAUAGGAGUGGAUCAUUUACGGUAAACUCGGCCUAUCAUGAAGAAUGGGAGCACCAACAUGGACGAAAGUUGAGGAUGACUAACUCAAUACAAGCCUCAAGUACUAGUCCAGUUUGGAGGACCGUUUGGAAAUUGAAUGUGCCAUCAAAAGUAAAAAUCCACGUGUGGAAGACUUUGCUUGGAGCGAUCCCAUGUCAAGGAGUUCUUACAAAUAGACACAUUAUAACUAGUUCUCAAUGCCCUUUGUGUAACUCAGAUUGUGAGAGCAUUUGA
rnacentral:rRNA from 1 species